UAGAAGCAGCCACCCUUGAAAGAGUUCGUAACAGAUCACUGGUCAAGCUUGCGGGCCCGGAAAAUGGACGGGGCUCAAACUGGUCACCGAUACACUGAUCCUUCGAAAGAAGAUGAGGUAGCGCGGCGAUGUGCUCGGGUAGAAGCGAGGUUGUGAGAUCUCGUGGACCGUGUACAUAUGAGAAUCUAGGGAAGAGUAGCAGCAUAGUGCGGUGAGAAUCCGCACCACCGAAAGGGUAAGGGUUCCUCGGCAAUGAUUUUCAGCCGAGGGUUAGCCGGUCCUAAGGUCAAUCUUAACCGACUUGAUCGAAAGGGAAUUGCGUUAAUAUUCGUAAGCCUCUCUGCAAUAAUGGUAACGGCUAGGGCUAGUUCGUGCACUUCAGUCAUGGAGUGUCGAAGCGUUCGAUAAUCGUGUGGAGAACCGUCAUGGUGAGAAACACGAGAAGGCGUGAGUGAAAGACGGAUGAGGCCUUGGUCCCAUGAAAAACCGCAGAAGAUGACCGUACCGAGAACUGACACAGGUACCCAAGGUGAGUAGCCUAAGGUGUGACGGGUAAAGUACCGCGAAGGAACUCGGCAAAAUAGCCCCGUAACUUCGGGAGAAGGGGUGCCAGCUCUGAAGAGAGCUGGUCGCAGUGACAAGAGGACUCCGACUGUUUAAUAAAAACAUAGGCGACUGCUAGAUCGAAAGGUUGUGUAUAGUCGCUGAAUCCUGCUCAGUGCCGGUAUCUGAAAUCGGGGUUCAACCUGACGAAGGACCGGUAAACAGCGGGGGUAACUAUGACCCUCUUAAGGUAGCGUAAUACCUUGUCGCUUAAUUGGCGACUUGCAUGAAUGGCCCAACGAGAGUCCUACUGUCUCCGCGGUACGUCCGGCGAAAUUGACAUUACUGGCGCACAGUCCAGUACCCUCAACCUGCAAGCGAAGACCCCGUAGAGCUUUACUGCAGCCUGGCGUUGUAUAAUCGCACUUCACGUGCUGAGUAGACGGGAGACGUUGAUCCACGGGACGCCAGUCCCGUGAGUAGUCGUCCAUAGAGACACCGUCCUUGGAGUGUAAUUGUACUCACUCUUCAUGAGAACACCGCUUGGUGGGCAGUUUGGGUGGGGCGCCACGCGCUCGAAAACAUAACAAGCGUGCCCAAAGGUCAGCUUAGGUGGUUCAGUCUCCACCGUUAACUGUAAGGGGAAAAGCUGGCUUGACUUGGAUCGGACCAAUAACGAUCGAAGAUGCGAAAGCACGGCCUAACGAACCAAUGUACCUCAUUUCUGGGGGUCAUUGAUAACAGAAAAGUUACCUCGGGGAUAAUUGAGUUGUCACCAGCAAGAGCACACAUCGACCUGGUGGCUUGCUACUUCGAUGUCGUCUCUUCCCAACCUCCUGGUGCAGCAGCUGGGAAGGGUGGGGUUGUUCGCCCAUUAAAAGGGAUCGUGAGAUGGGUUUAGACCGUCGUGAGACAGGUUUGUUGCUUUGCGGUUGAGGCGUGUAAGAUGCCUGAUCGGAAGGGUCCUUUAGUACGAGAGGAACGAGGACUCGGAGCCACUAGUUUACCAGUUGUCCGGCAGGGCAAUGCUGGGUAGCCACGCUCCAUGUGGAUAAGAGCUGAAAGCAUCUAAGCUCGAAGUCACCCGAAAGACGAGGCAUCUCAGGGGACUCGUAGAAGACGAGUUUGAUAGACAGCGGGUGUAAGCACCGAGGUUCGCCGAGGUGUUCAGCCCAGCUGCACUAACCCCCCGAGCAUUCAUUUUU
rnacentral:rRNA from 1 species